UACGUAGGGGGCAAGCGUUGUCCGGAAUCAUUGGGCGUAAAGAGCGUGUAGGCGGUUCAGUAAGUCUGCUGUGAAAGUCCAGGGCUCAACCCUGGGAUGCCGGUGGAUACUGCUGGGCUAGAGUACGGAAGAGGCGAGUGGAAUUCCCGGUGUAGCGGUGAAAUGCGCAGAUAUCAGGAGGAACACCAAUAGCGAAGGCAGCUCGCUGGGACGGUACUGACGCUAAGGCGCGAAAGCGUGGGGAGCGAACAGG
rnacentral:rRNA from 1 species